rnacentral:rRNA from 1 species
GACCCAUCAGGUAGUCGGUAGGGUAACGGCCUACCAAGCCUACGACGGGUAGCGGGUCUGAGAGGAUGAUCCGCCCGAGUGGGACUGAGACACGGCCCACACACCUACGGGUGGCAGCAGUUGGGAAUCUUGCACAAUGGGGGAAACCCUGAUGCAGCGACGCCGCGUGGUGGAUGAAGGAUCUAGGUCUGUAAACACCUUUUGCUAGGAAAGACUUAGGACGGUACCUAGCGAAUAAGCUCCGGCUAACUACGUGCCAGCAGCCGCGGUAAUACGUAGGGAGCAAGCGUUGUCCGGAUUUACUGGGCGUAAAGGGCACGUAGGCGGUCUGUUAAGUGUGGUGUGAAAUCUCCAGGGCUCAACCCGGAAACUGCACCGCAUACUGGCAGACUGGAGGAAGGUAGAGGUACAUAGAAUUCCCGGUGUAACGGUGACAUGUGUAGAUAUCGGGAGGAAUACCGAUGGCGAAGGCAGUGUACUGG